UACAGAGGGUGCGAGCGUUAAUCGGAGUUACUGGGCGUAAAGGGCGCGUAGGCGGAUGUAUAAGAUUGAUGUGAAAUCCCUGGGCUUAACCUAGGAACUGCAUCGAUGACUGUAGAUCUAGAGUAUUGUAGAGGGUAGUGGAAUUUCCGGUGUAGCGGUGAAAUGCGUAGAGAUCGGAAGGAACACCAGUGGCGAAGGCGGCUACCUGGACAAAUACUGACGCUGAGGCGCGAAAGCGUGGGGAUCAAACGGG
rnacentral:rRNA from 1 species